rnacentral:rRNA from 1 species
AAUCUCAAUUCAGACUGCAGGCUGCAGCUCGCCUGCACGAAGUCGGAAUUGCUAGUAAUCGUAGGUCAGCAUACUACGGUGAAUACGUUCCCGGGCCUUGUACACACCGCCCGUCAAACCAUGAGAGUUGGCAACACCCGAAGUCGGUAGUCUAACCGCAAGGAGGACGCCGCCGAAGGUGGGGUUGAUGAUUAGGGUUAAGUCGUAACAAGGUAAC